AUUGAACGCUGGCGGCAUGCCUUACACAUGCAAGUCGAACGGCAGCAUGAUCUAGCUUGCUAGAUUGAUGGCGAGUGGCGAACGGGUGAGUAAUACAUCGGAACGUGCCCCGUAGUGGGGGAUAACUAGUCGAAAGGUUAGCUAAUACCGCAUACGACCUGAGGGUGAAAGUGGGGGACCGCAAGGCCUCAUGCUAUAGGAGCGGCCGAUGUCUGAUUAGCUAGUUGGUGAGGUAAAGGCUCACCAAGGCGACGAUCAGUAGCUGGCCUGAGAGGACGAUCAGCCACACUGGGACUGAGACACGGCCCAGACUCCUACGGGAGGCAGCAGUGGGGAAUUUUGGACAAUGGGGGCAACCCUGAUCCAGCAAUGCCGCGUGUGUGAAGAAGGCCUUCGGGUUGUAAAGCACUUUUGUCCGGAAAGAAAUCGCACUUACUAAUAUUAGGUGUGGAUGACGGUACCGGAAGAAUAAGGACCGGCUAACUACGUGCCAGCCGCCGCGGUAACAC
rnacentral:rRNA from 1 species